AAGGACACAAGAAGCCCUGGCCAUAUGGCCAUCUGGAGAGGAGAGCACACCGGACACCUGAGGCUGUGUGAGGUGAAGGCCAGCAGUGUCCGAAUGCUCUCAGAUGCCCCUGUGCUCAACAGCACGAUCCCCAGUCCCCAGGCGCCCAGCUGGGAAAUUCUGCUUGGUCUGUGGUAAAUGCCCUUUCUGAGAAGCAACCAUGACCUUCUCAAGAAUACUUCAGAGGCACUUUUGCUCCUUCUCCACUAACCGACAUCCUGUUUUGCUGGAACACAUGGGGCAGAGCGCACACAGCUUUGUUCCUGCACCCGCCCUCAGAGCUUUGCCACCUGUUUUCAGGCUGCCUCUGCCUCCAAACCCUGCGGAGCCCUCCCUGCCCCGUGCUUUGAAGCAGUUUCUUUGGAAGCUGCUGCACAGGGGUUAACAACAAGCAACAACUCAGGUCGCAUUCUUGUCAACGGAAGGGAGGGCCAGGUGGAACCGCCAAGGGGGCCAUUUCUGGCUUUGCUGGAGGCUGUCAGCUUCUGGUGGGAGCCACAGCCUGAGGGCAGCCAGGAUGGCUCUGCUGGGAGGGACACCCUGCCCAACCCUGGGAGCAGGUGACGAAGGCUCCUGGAGGCAUGGUCACAUCCCUGGGUCCCAGAGGCAGGAACAAAGCCCCCAGGGCAGUGUUCAUCAAGAAAGGGCCUCCGGGUUUGUGUUUACUGGACAUGAAUUGAGCUGCUCUCCAGAGAUAAGAAAAAAAUAUUACAGCCCUGCUAUGUGGGCACCCCACGGCAGCCCCCGGGGUUAAGGGGCAGCUUUCUUUCCAAGGAAUCCCAUUGCCAAAGAUGAACCUUCAGAUGGGGAAACUGAGGACCCAGAGGAAGCAAGAGCAGCCCCAGGCCACACAACCCUCUUUUUAUUAUUCAUUCACUGACUACACUGCAGAGGUUGGACCCAUAUCUCAUUAUUUGAAUAGUAAAUUGUUUUUUCUUCCUGACCCUUGGUCUGUUGGGUCUCUCAUUGCGCCAUGCAUCCAAGAAAGAACGUUCUGAAGCUUUCCAGUGCCACCCAAUCCCUGUAUCCUACUUUAUGCUUGAAAGUAAAGCUCACGGGUUUUUUUCUACUUCGGGUUGUUUAAAUAACCACAAUCGGUCGGGAGCGGUGGCUCACGCCUGUAAUCCCAGCACUUUGGGAGGCCGAGGCGGGUGGAUCACCUGAGGUCAGGAGUUAGAGACUAGCCUGGCCAACAUGGUGAAACCCCGUCUCUACGAAAUAUACAAAAAUUAGCCGGGCGUGGUGGCGGGCCCCUGUAAUCCCAACUACUGGGGAGGCUGAGGCUUGAACCCGGGAGGCGGAGGUUGCAGUGAGCCGAGAUUGCGCCAUUGCACUCCAGCCUGGGCGACAAGA
rnacentral:lncRNA from 1 species